UUCAGGGCUGACCCCCGGGUCUUCCGCGGUUUCUCUACCCACGUUUUCUUGUUGUCCCUGUUGUGGUUCUGGGAACUGGAGGGAGAGACUCACACGUACCAGGGAAGGGCUCUACCGACAACCCUAAUGACUGCAAUCGAUUCCAACAAAGCCCUCCACUGCGGGACGCUGGAUUCGGCAUCGCUUUAGAGAGAGCAAGGGAUGGGCGCAAACAGCCGUGCCGCUUUCCCGUCUCCUGCGAGGCACGGCGAGCACCUGGGUGGUGACCCGAAUGGAAACCAGCUCUUCUCGUGUAUUCGGACGGAGACAGUCGCUAUGUGACUCGGGCUGGCCUCGAACUCCUCAUCCUCCUGCCUCAGUCUCUCAAAUGCUGGGACCACAGGUAUGAAUCAGCACACCCAGCGGAGACCACAACUCCAUAAAGGUGAGAGCGAGUUCAGCCUCACUGACACUGAGGUAAGCCGUCAGUUCUCACCUCUGUGGAGCGCAUUGGAGCUCUUGGCUUGGGAUGUGUGCCGAGUGACAGCCACUGACAGCCACUGUCCCGUGUGACUGCUGGGCCCUUGAAACAGUAGUGCAUCUGGGAACUGUUGCUGGGAGACAGGCCCUUUCUCUGCACCACAUGCACACGUGGCUCCUGAGCUAUUUUUAAAAUAUGUUUGUGAAAAUAUAUUCCAGAGAGGGUUUCUCUGUGCAGUCCUAGAACUUGCUCUCUAGACUAGGCUGGCCUUGAACUCAGAGAUCAGCCUGCCUCUGCCCCCCAAUUUUGGGGACUAAAGUUGUGUGUGCCACCUCCCAGCUUGCUUACUUUUAUUUUAUGUGUAUGAGCGUACCAUGUGCGUGCAGAGGCCUGGAGAGGGCAUCAGAUUCCUUGGGACUGGAGUUAGAGGCGGUUUCGAACCACCGUGUGGGUGCCGGGAACAGAACCCAGGUUCUCUGCAAGAGUAGCAAAUGCUCUUAGUCGCUCCAGCCUCAGCUGUGGGAUUUCUUUUUUGAAGAAGUUUUAAGUAAUUAUGAAAAUGUUUAAAAUCAUUUUAAAAAACGAUAAUUGUUUUAAUUAAUCACAUUGAGGUGGCUAGCGUGACUCCAGGUUACUGUGCUGGCUCAGCCAUGCCUGGGGUUUGGUGUUCUGCUUCAGAAAGGGGCUGGAAUGCUGGGGUUUUCUUUCACGGGUAGAGGAGACGGGAGUCCCUCUCUUCUGCCUUUAGGUUUGAGGAAUACUAGAAUAUGACACCGAGGCACAGAUUUCCUUUGAGCCAAAGACCUUGCAGGACACACACACACACACACACACACACACACAUACAACUUGCACAUGGUUGGCACGCUGAUCUCUCUCUCCCUCUGAGAACAGGAAAGGAAGCUGGCUCCCUGUGAAAGAUUCUCUCCUCACAAUGCAAGGAAAGAAGAAUGUCCUGAUCAGAGACAGGAUAUUCAGCUGAGAGGAAUCUGUGCAUCUAAACCUUGACAAAAUACCUCCCAGCUUCCUCCAGUCCCACUCUGGCUAGGUGUCUACUGCUGUGGUGAAAUACCAUGACCAAAAGCAGCUUGGGGAGGAAAGGGUUAAUUUAUUUUGGUUUUUCUUUCUUUCUUGUGUGUGAGACAGAGUUUCUCUGUGUAGCCUUGGCCAUCUUUGUAGUCAGUCUGUAGACCAGGCUGGCCUAGAACUCAGAUAUCUGCUUGCCUCUGCCUCCCAAGUGCUGGGAUUAAAGGUGUGUGCCACCACCACCAGGCUUGCUUUUUAUUUUUUUAAUAGUUUCUCUGUGACACCUUGGCUGUCCCAGACUCACUUUGUAAACCAGGCUGGCCUCAAACUCAGAGAGAUUAGCCUGCCUCUACUCCCGGUGUUGGAUUUUUGUUUUGUUUUUGAGACAGGGUUUCUCUAUGUAUCCCUGCCUGUCCUGGAAUUUACUCUGUAGACCAGUCCAGCCUGGAACCCAGAGAUCCUCCUGCCUCUGCCUCCCCACUGCUACACAGAAAAACCCUGUCUCGAAAAACCAAACCAAACCAAAAAACCUCUCCGUCUCUUUAAGGUAUCUGUGCGUCUCUCCGAGUGUAUUCAUAUGUAGGCACUGCCAGGAUGAUGACAGUGCCAGGAGCUGGGACCGUGGGGGUUAACUGUCUGCCAGGCUGGGACCAAACCGAGGUCUUCCGCAGGAACAGUCUGCUCUUAACUGCUGAGUCAUCUCUCCAGCACCCUUCCCUCUGUAAUGGGGUCACACACACACACCCCACGGUGUAAGUGUGGAGGUCAGAGGCACCGGUGGGAGUCAGGUCUUUCCUUCUACCAUGUGGGUUCCACAUCAGGCUUGGUUGCAGGUGCUUUUGAUGUUACCUGGGGGUGCAGGAAUGGGUUCGUUUUCUCUGGUUAAAGAAAGGCAGGAAAGAAAUGUCAUUACAAAUCUUGGGGCACCCAGCAGAGUCCGUCAUAGGAUGUCAGGGAACUUGGGGGCCCCUGUUGGGAUCCUUAUGCUCUGUAGUCGUAAGAGACUCUUAAGCAGAGACACAAGCUCAGGGAGUUUAAAAGGAAAGUGUCAGGGCAGGCGACUGCAGCUGCGGGGUUGCAGUGGCCGGGAGGAGGCGACCAGCUGGCCCGACAGCUACGCGACAGGGCUGGACGGGGAGCUCCGAGGAGGCCUAGAACACCAGCGAAGGCCCGAUCCGGAUCCCGGCCGCUGGGUUAAUCUGUGAGGGAGGAGACAGGGCGGGGCUCCACCUAACCCCUACUCCUUAGUCAACACACGGUCACCUCUUUUGGUGGCCUCUGCUGUGUGGGGUGCUUUGUGUGCAAAAAAGCACGCCUUUCUCCUACUAACCUUUCAUGGAUACGUUUGUGGACGCGAGUACUGUGCCUGCGUGUGUGUGUGUGCGCUGUGUGCCCGGUUCUUUGGAACGGAGUCGGUCCUGCUUGAGCCACCCCAGGUCCUGGGGAACCAGCCCCCUCCCCUGAGCGGCCUUGGCCGCAGCCUCCGACCAGGCGGACCUCGAACUCUGACCCGACCCGCCCCCACUCCUGGCCGCCGACUUAGUCCUCAGGCUGAGAAGGGGGUUCUGUCGUUUACUCUGUGACCGCUCUGGCUGGCCUGGUAGACCAGGUUGUACAGGAAUUCACAGAUAUCCACCUGCCUCAGGCCCCAAGGAGUACUUGGAUUAAAGGUGUGCGCUGGGGAGAAAAUGACAGACCGAGGCCGGGGUUCGAGGACAGCCCCAGCACAGCCAGCCGAGGAGAAGGUUAGAAGAGAUUCAUCUAUCGUUAGACCAGCAUUAGUGUAGCCUUACCGGAGCAAGGCCUCAAAAAAUUGGUUUCAGACUCAGAGUUGUUCCUCUCCACGGAAAUCUUUAGUAAAAGGCGAAAGAUUUAUACGAUCUGAAGAGAAACCAGAGUAUGCCAGCGACUAGCUGAGGACAGCGCUAGGGUAACAGAGCCUCCUAGUCUACCGACGGUGACUGUGGGUUCGCCGUGCCGGUACCUACGGCAACUGCUUCCCGAUCUCCUUAAGCGAAGAUUUCGUUUUUAGCUUCAAAAUUCGAGCACUAGACGAGUAUCUUUUCACGAAAACGAGCCGCGCUGGCCGCGAUGUGUUAUGGGUAUGUAAAUGAGCCGGGUGGCCGCCCUGGAGACUGGCGCGGUUCCCCCGGGCGACUGCAGGGGGCGGGGCGGAGGGUUCCGCCCCUUGCUGGCCGCGGGCGUGUUCUUUCGCGCCCUGGACGUUAGAUGAACGGGUUUUCAGCUGGCCGUAAAGGACGAAGAAAUGACCAACAAGUUCCCUGUACUGAGGGGUGGGGUCGGGACUGCGGCACAGAGUUUCAAAGGUGUCGGCAAGGUGCUUCUCGGCUCCGGUCGGGAACCGUGCUUCCGUGGCGAAUAACCUAGACAAAGCGCUGCGUUUUCAAUGCAGCGUCCUGCCGCUGUACACAAGGGGAGCAGAUGAGGUUAACGCUGCUAAAUGUACGGCAAAGGGAGGUACUUUUUCCACUGUUGAUACAUGCAUCGUGUGUGUGCGUGUGUGUGCGUGUGUGUGUGUGUGUGUGUGUGUACUUUUUUUUUAUUUGUAGAGAAAGACCAAAAAGUCCAGCACUCUGCACCAAUAGCCACAGCAGCGUUUCCAGGUUCUGCAGUCAUAUGAACAGAAUUGUAGAGAAAUCCAGCACACUCCAUUAAAAUACAAAAGUCAAAAAUAAAGUCCUGGAAAUUUUUUUUUCUUCCUUUCUGUCUCUGUCUCUCUCUGUGGGGUCAGAUGCCUUGGAGCUGGUCAGCAAUUGUGAGCUGACCCACAUGAGUGCCGAGAACCAAACUCUGGUCUUCAAGAAGAGCAGCAAGCUCUUUUUAUGUUUCUGUUUUUUUGUUUUGUUUUGUUUUUCGAGACGAGCUUUCUCUGUGUCACAGCCCUGACUGUCCUGGAACUCGAUCUACAGACCAGGCUGACCUCUCCCUCCUGAGUGCUGGGAUUAAGGGCAUGCUCUGCUCUGCCUGUCUACAGCAAGCACUCUUAACACUGUUCCAUCUCUCCAGCCCACAGUGUGUGUGUGUGUGUGUGUGUGUGUGUGUGUGUGUGUGUGUGUGUGUUUCGAGCAAUAUAUACACUUCUACUAUAAAAUAUCUUCUAAUGUAGUUUUAUAAUUUUACCAUAAGGCCCAUUGUCUUGUGGGCUAAAUGGUUGGCUCAGUGGUUAAGGGCACUUGCUCUUGCAGAGGACCUGGGUUUGGUUACAUACACACACAUAGACAAAUUGAUUGGAAUGACUUUCAGGCUACAGUCCAGCUAGUCCAACAUAGCCAGCUGUGUGUGAAUGGCAAGUUCAAGACUGCAGUACUUGCUCAGCCCCACGAGGCUGAGUGUUUCAGCUGGUCUUCUGUAUGAGCUGGAACCCUGAAGAAGUAGGCUCCAAGGGAUGUGCUGGCAGAGUGCAAGUGGGCAAACCUUCCUCCUUUCAUUGUCUUUAGACAGGCUCCAGCAGAAGGCGUGGCCCAGAUGAAAGGGGUGCCUCCAGAUCUGCACUAAAGGAACAGAGCUGAUCCGCCUCCCAGCAGCUGGUCCCAGAUGUCAUUCCAUGCUGCUCAAGGCCUUCCGAGCCCUGCACUCCGCUUCUGCUCCUCCUGAGCCGGCGGGCUGAUGGCCAACAGUUCCCAAGGGAAUUUAAAACAAUAAAACAAAUAUAUAUUCAUAUUGUUUUUAACUUAAUUAAUUUUUUUUUGACACAGGGUCUCUUAAUGUAUCUCUGACUGAUGAUCCUGGAACCCUAUGUAGAUCAGGCUGGCCUCCAAGUGCUGGAAUCAAUGGCAUGCGCUCCCAUCUGGCUAAAAAUAAUUGCUUGGUGUGUUGGCUUACACAUGUAUCCUGAAGAAGUUUGUUCUGUGGUCUGGAGAUGCGGCUCAGUUGCUCCAGUGUUUGGCUAACAUACACAAAGCCCCAGUUCAAUUCCCAGCAUUUUAUAAAACUGGACUUAGCGGCAGAUGCUAAUAAUCCUGGUGCUUGGAAAGUACAGGAGGUAGAAAGUCACAAGGGCAAAGCCAUUCUCAGCUACAUAGGGAGUUGGAGACCAGUCUGGGAUACAUGAGAUCCUGUCCCCCCAAAAAAGUGAGCGGAGGCUGGGAAAUGGCCCCGUGGAAAAGGACACGUGUCACGAAACCUGAUGACUGAGUUCAGUUUCCAGCAGCCACAUGACGGAAGGAGAGAACUGACUCUCAUGAGUUCCCUGACCUCCCCCGUGCGUGCACACACACAUACACAUAAAUAAAUAAGUGUGGUUUUAAAA